rnacentral:rRNA from 1 species
CCUACGGGUGGCAGCAGUGAGGAAUAUUGGUCAAUGGGCGCAAGCCUGAACCAGCCAAGUCGCGUGAGGGAUGAAGGUUCUAUGGAUCGUAAACCUCUUUUAUACGGGGAUAAAGUGUGGGACGUGUCCUAUUUUGUAUGUACCUUAUGAAUAAGGAUCGGCUAACUCCGUGCCAGCAGCCGCGGUAAUACGGAGGAUCCGAGCGUUAUCCGGAUUUAUUGGGUUUAAAGGGUGCGUAGGCGGCCUUAUAAGUCAGCGGUGAAAGUCUGUGGCUCAACCUUAGAAUUGCCGUUGAAACUGGGGGGCUUGAGUGUAGUUGAGGCAGGCGGAAUGUGUGGUGUAGCGGUGAAAUGCUUAGAUAUCACGCAGAACCCCGAUUGCGAAGGCAGCCUGCCAAGCCAUGACUGACGCUGAGGCACGAAAGCGUGGGGAGCAAACAGGAUUAGAUACCCCUGUAGUC